UACGGAGGAGGCAAGCGUUAUCCGGAAUUAUUGGGCGUAAAGCGUCCGCAGGUGGCACUUCAAGUCUGUCGUCAAAGACUGGGGCUUAACCCUGGAAAGGCCGUGGAAACUGACGAGCUAGAGUGCAGUAGGGGUAGAGGGAAUUCCCGGUGUAGCGGUGAAAUGCGUAGAGCUCGGGAAGAACAUCGGUGGCGAAAGCGCUCUACUGGACUGCAACUGACACUCAGGGACGAAAGCUAGGGGAGCGAAUGGG
rnacentral:rRNA from 1 species